rnacentral:sRNA from 1 species
AAGGCGGCAAAGGCGACGGAAUGGAGGAGGUGCCUCACGGUGAGCUCGCGGAGGGGGCGUGGGUGGCGGGGCGAAAGUGUCACGAGCUGCUCUAACUGUGGUCUUGUCUCUGCGCAGACUGUCCAGGGGCCGACAGCGCCCAGGCGGGCAGAGGGGCUUCAUGUCAGGGAUGCCCCAACCAGCGGCUGUGCGCUUCUGGAGCAGGGGCCACUCCAGACCCGGCUAUAGAGGAAAUCAAAGAGAAAAUGAAGACCGUAAAACACAAAAUCUUGGUAUUGUCUGGGAAAGGCGGUGUUGGGAAAAGCACAUUCAGCGCCCACCUUGCCCGUGGCCUAGCAGAGGAUGAAAACACACAGAUUGCUCUUCUAGACAUCGAUAUAUGUGGGCCAUCGAUUCCCAAGAUAAUGGGAUUGGAAGGAGAGCAGGCAUGAUCAAGCAGUUCCUCCGAGAUGUGGACUGGGGAGAGGUUGACUACCUCAUUGUGGACACCCCACCUGGAACGUCGGAUGAACACCUCUCAGUCGUCCAGUACCUGGCCGCGGCACACAUCGAUGGAGCAGUGAUCAUCACCACUCCCCAGGAGGUGUCACUCCAGGAUGUCCGGAAAGAAAUCAACUUCUGCCGCAAGGUGAAGCUGCCCAUCAUCGGGGUGGUGGAGAACAUGAGUGGCUUCAUCUGUCCUAAAUGCAAGAAAGAAUCUCAGAUAUUCCCUCCCACAACCGGGGGCGCGGAGCUCAUGUGCCAGGACUUGGAGGUCCCUCUCCUCGGCAGAGUGCCCCUGGAUCCACUCAUAGGUGGGUGACCCCGGUGUGGGGCGGGACCUCACUCCUCGGUCAGCCCCACAGGCAUGGGUCGGGCACAACAGGGGGCGGCUAUGGAGAGGGGCAAUGGAAGGAGGGUCAAUGGGGCACUGGAGCCAGACCCACCCUCCAGCUGGCACCCCAAGAGGCCACCGGGAGAGAGGCCGAGACCCCUGCGGGCAGAUAGCGGGAGCAAACAGGCCUCAGGCAGAGGGGUGAGGCUUGGAAGAAUGGGGUAGAAGUU